rnacentral:rRNA from 1 species
UAAGUUAGAAAGGGCGCACGGUGGAUGCCUUGACACUAGGAGUCGAUGAAGGACGGGACUAACGCCGAUAUGCUUCGGGGAGCUGUAAGUAAGCUUUGAUCCGAAGAUUUCCGAAUGGGGAAACCCACCAUACGUAAUGGUAUGGUAUCCUUAUCUGAAUACAUAGGGUAAGGAAGACAGACCCAGGGAACUGAAACAUCUAAGUACCUGGAGGAAGAGAAAGCAAAUGCGAUUUCCUGAGUAGCGGCGAGCGAAACGGAACAUAGCCCAAACCAAGAGGCUUGCCUCUUGGGGUUGUAGGACAUUCUAUACGGAGUUACAAAGGAACGAGGUAGACGAAGCGACCUGGAAAGGUCCGUCGUAGAGGGUAACAACCCCGUAGUCGAAACUUCGUUCUCUCUUGAAUGUAUCCUGAGUACGGCGGAACACGUGAAAUUCCGUCGGAAUCUGGGAGGACCAUCUCCCAAGGCUAAAUACUCCCUAGUGAUCGAUAGUGAACCAGUACCGUGAGGGAAAGGUGAAAAGCACCCCGGAAGGGGAGUGAAAGAGAUCCUGAAACCGUGUGCCUACAAAUAGCCAGAGCCCGUUAACGGGUGAUGGCGUGCCUUUUGUAGAAUGAACCGGCGAGUUACGAUCCCGUGCGAGGUUAAGCUGAAGAGGCGGAGCCGCAGCGAAAGCGAGUCUGAAUAGGGCGUUUAGUACGUGGUCGUAGACCCGAAACCAGGUGAUCUACCCAUGUCCAGGGUGAAGUUCAGGUAACGCUGAAUGGAGGCCCGAACCCACGCACGUUGAAAAGUGCGGGGAUGAGGUGUGGGUAGCGGAGAAAUUCCAAUCGAACCUGGAGAUAGCUGGUUCUCCCCGAAAUAGCUUUAGGGCUAGCCUUAAGUGUAAGAGUCUUGGAGGUAGAGCACUGAUUGGACUAGGGGUCCUCAUCGGAUUACCGAAUUCAGUCAAACUCCGAAUGCCAAUGACUUAUCCUUAGGAGUCAGACUGCGAGUGAUAAGAUCCGUAGUCAAAAGGGAAACAGCCCAGACCGCCAGCUAAGGUCCCAAAGUGUGUAUUAAGUGGAAAAGGAUGUGGAGUUGCUUAGACAACUAGGAUGUUGGCUUAGAAGCAGCCACCAUUUAAAGAGUGCGUAAUAGCUCACUAGUCGAGUGACUCUGCGCCGAAAAUGUACCGGGGCUAAAUACACCACCGAAGCUGCGGAUUGAUACCGAAUGGUAUCAGUGGUAGGGGAGCGUUCUAAGGACAGUGAAGUCAGACCGGAAGGACUGGUGGAGUGCUUAGAAGUGAGAAUGCCGGUAUGAGUAGCGAAAGACGGGUGAGAAUCCCGUCCACCGAAUGCCUAAGGUUUCCUGAGGAAGGCUCGUCCGCUCAGGGUUAGUCAGGACCUAAGCCGAGGCCGACAGGCGUAGGCGAUGGACAACAGGUUGAUAUUCCUGUACCACCUCUUUAUCGUUUGAGCAAUGGAGGGACGCAGAAGGAUAGAAGAAGCGUGCGAUUGGUUGUGCACGUCCAAGCAGUUAGGCUGAUAAGUAGGCAAAUCCGCUUAUCGUGAAGGCUGAGCUGUGAUGGGGAAGCUCCUUAUGGAGCGAAGUCUUUGAUUCCCCGCUGCCAAGAAAAGCUUCUAGCGAGAUAAAAGGUGCCUGUACCGCAAACCGACACAGGUAGGCGAGGAGAGAAUCCUAAGGUGUGCGAGAGAACUCUGGUUAAGGAACUCGGCAAAAUGACCCCGUAACUUCGGGAGAAGGGGUGCUUUCUUAACGGAAAGCCGCAGUGAAUAGGCCCAAGCGACUGUUUAGCAAAAACACAGCUCUCUGCGAAGCCGUAAGGCGAAGUAUAGGGGGUGACACCUGCCCGGUGCUGGAAGGUUAAGGAGAGGGGUUAGCGUAAGCGAAGCUCUGAACUGAAGCCCCAGUAAACGGCGGCCGUAACUAUAACGGUCCUAAGGUAGCGAAAUUCCUUGUCGGGUAAGUUCCGACCCGCACGAAAGGUGUAACGAUUUGGGCACUGUCUCAACCAGAGACUCGGUGAAAUUAUAGUACCUGUGAAGAUGCAGGUUACCCGCGACAGGACGGAAAGACCCCGUGGAGCUUUACUGUAGCCUGAUAUUGAAUUUUGGUACAGUUUGUACAGGAUAGGCGGGAGCCUUUGAAACCGGAGCGCUAGCUUCGGUGGAGGCGCUGGUGGGAUACCGCCCUGACUGUAUUGAAAUUCUAACCUACGGGUCUUAUCGACCCGGGAGACAGUGUCAGGUGGGCAGUUUGACUGGGGCGGUCGCCUCCUAAAGUGUAACGGAGGCGCCCAAAGGUUCCCUCAGAAUGGUUGGAAAUCAUUCGUAGAGUGCAAAGGCAUAAGGGAGCUUGACUGCGAGACCUACAAGUCGAGCAGGGACGAAAGUCGGGCUUAGUGAUCCGGUGGUUCCGCAUGGAAGGGCCAUCGCUCAACGGAUAAAAGCUACCCCGGGGAUAACAGGCUUAUCUCCCCCAAGAGUCCACAUCGACGGGGAGGUUUGGCACCUCGAUGUCGGCUCAUCGCAUCCUGGGGCUGUAGUCGGUCCCAAGGGUUGGGCUGUUCGCCCAUUAAAGCGGUACGCGAGCUGGGUUCAGAACGUCGUGAGACAGUUCGGUCCCUAUCCGUCGUGGGCGUAGGAAAUUUGAGAGGAGCUGUCCUUAGUACGAGAGGACCGGGAUGGACGCACCGCUGGUGUACCAGUUGUUCUGCCAAGGGCAUAGCUGGGUAGCUAUGUGCGGAAGGGAUAAGUGCUGAAAGCAUCUAAGCAUGAAGCCCCCCUCAAGAUGAGAUUUCCCAUAGCGUAAGCUAGUAAGAUCCCUGAAAGAUGAUCAGGUUGAUAGGUUCGAGGUGGAAGCAUGGUGACAUGUGGAGCUGACGAAUACUAAUAGAUCGAGGACUUAACCA